rnacentral:pre_miRNA from 1 species
CUGGCGUCGGUGCUGGGGAGCGGCCCUCGGGGCCGGCCUUCACUGCGGCCGCUACUGGGACCAGCACUCUCGCUGAGGGCCCG